UCAUCACUGCAACGCGCUUUUUUCUUUCACUUUUUUUGUUGACAUUUUUCUUGUAUUCACCAUGAGCAUUAUCAAGGAGGACGACGCCGUGGGAUGCUACAUGACGGUGACCCUCGUGGACGACACCAAGGUGGAGGGUACCAUCUUCACCUACAAUCCCAAGGAAGGCAUCAUAGUACUUCUGUCCCUCCGCGACGAUCAGACGAACAUGAAGCUGAUCCGCACUCCAUACAUCAAAGAGUUCAGUAUUUCACACGCUGAGGAGGGAACGCACCUGCCCCCGGCACUGGACUCCUUCAACGAGCUUCCGUCCAUGCAUGCCGGCCGCGACAAGUCCAUCUUCAAGCACGCCAGCACGCAGCUCAAGAACGCCGAGGCGAACCGCGAAAAGCACUUCAACUCUGUCACGACCGACACACCGAUUGCCACACUCGAUGCGUACCUCAAGCUCCUGCGGCUAUACCCCUUCAUUGAGUGGAACAGCGACGAGGGUGUCAUCCAGGUCUCGGAUACCGUCAUUGUCGUAGGGGACCCCGACUGGCGGACGCCCAAGGCGAUGCUGGUAGACGGCGCCCCUGAGAAGGACAGACCGCUCGUAGACCGCCUGCAGGUUGCGCUCGGAAACGGCAAGAAGUGAUUCAUUGUGUAGCGGACGGAAUAUCGUGUGCUUGUGUGUCUGUUUGAGUUUGUUUUGUUUCUCUUUGUGGUACUGCGCACGGCUGUGCCCUCUCCCGGUGGUGGGUGAGUCCACAAGCGGUGGAGUUCUCGGUUGUAGCAACGCCUCACUGCCGGCCAUGUAGGAGAGGGCGAAUAAAGCUCUGAUGGCAGUCGAAAAUGCCAAAGUCAAAAACUGAAUACAAGCAAACAAACAAAAAAAAAAACAUUUUCUUCACAAGGCAGUGACCGGCUGAGCGCGAGUCUUCAUUUUCGUGCAGACAGAACCUAAGCCGACAAGCAUUGCCCGAAUGCCGGCCUUGGAGGAAGAAGAGAAAGAGAGGCAGCGCGACGACAUUCGAAGGGCGGAGUGAAGUUUGCGCCAUGCAGACGCGAUGCCUCCCUUCCUCUUGCUGUAGGUGUCGCAACGAACAACAAGAGAGGCAAUCGGUAGCAGGGAUGCUUGUGCAAGCCUGUAAGUGUUCACGGGCUCUCCCCCACUGUCUGUGCGCAGCCAGAUAGAGAUGCACGUAAGACGGGCAGAUGCGCACCUCCUUUCCCGUCGUGCCCCGUAACCUUGCCCUCGCUUAUUUGUCUUUGUUGGUGUUUACAUUUGUCCUUGUGGUUUUGCCUCUUUUCGCUUCUGUUUGGUGGCGCUGUGUGUGUGUGUGUGUAUUCGGGAGGGAG
rnacentral:misc_RNA from 1 species